CAGGAAUUUCCCAAACAUUUACUCUGUCAGGCUUGUGAGGCUGGACGAGAGAGUGGGAGGAUCAUGCUCAACAGGGGAAACAGCAGCAAGAGUGGUCAUGUGUAAUAUCAGAAGAAAGCUCCCUUCUGUUUAAAAAGUUCCUGGUCCAAGGAGAAACUUCCCUCUUUUCACGGAUGGCUGACAGUGUUGUACAUAAACUCUGCCUCUUCUUCAACUGCCUGGAAGCUCUCUCGUAUCUGGAUAACCUUAUUUCAGAAAUAAGAGGUCCUGAGCCCCUGUGAAGAGAGACAGAAGUGUCCCCAGAGCAGAAGAAAGAGUAUGGUUGCGCAGAUCCAGCCCUGAGAAGACAUUUGAAACUGCCUAAGCAAUUCUGAUACCCAGUAGUGCUUACAUUCAGACUCCCAGUAAAAACCACCAGGAUGAUAAGAGGGCCACCGAAUCCCAGUGACCUGAAUGAGAACUGUAGUUCAGCUUUCCACCACCAAUGCAUUGAGCUUGAUAUGUGUUGUGAAGAUAGGAAUAGCCCAAAGAGCAAAACCAGGUAAGGUCUGUAUGGAAAAGCAAUGCAGACCUGGUGUGAGGGCUCAGAGGCAGAAGACUAUGCAGGGAAGGGACUCUUGGAGGAGUUUCAUUUUGAUGUCAGGCUUCUCUCCUUUACGAGAGCCAGUGAUGAAUUUUGCACCGCUGAGUUAUGCUGUCCUAUGUGGCUGUAGCUCUGUUUAUUUUGAAAUCUUUCUGUGGUGGAGGGAAUUUACGAGCCAGCAAUAUUUCUGCUUUAUGGCACUUCCUUCAUCCACAUUCCUUCGUCUGGUCAUUUACAUGGGCCAGGCCCACGAGGAGAGGUCAGGGGGGCACCCAAGUGGUAUCUAGAGGCUCGGAAUGGAAACAUGUUUUCUCACGCAAAAAUAAAUAAGGGAGAAAUGUUUCCAUUGCAGAAGAGGAACAAAGGCUGAGAUCACAGCAGAAAGCAAGCAGAGAACAGCAGGCUGCCCAGCCAAGGCAAUUAACAGCAUUUAACAACAGCCAUUCACUGUAUGUAACAUGUCUGUUCUAGUGACUCCCACUUCGGUUGCUUUAAAUAGCAGAUGAAAUGCAAAAUGAAAUUGCAGUUAUAUCUGAGCCUGCACGAACUACCACAGAACAAUCCAAGGUGCAGGUAUGUAUCUCCUCCAGGCCGCAUCUGAACACUAAAUGGGAACUCCCCUUGAACAACAGCUGAGGACUUCAGCUGGGAACACUGUUCAGCUAGAGCUGCCUGAAAAUCCACUUUUCAUCUCAUUUCCUCAUUUAAAGGUUUGCAGCAAAAUGAGAAAAAUACCUGCUAAUUUUAAGCCUAUAAACUCCCAGACAGUCUUACCAAAAGCUCAGACAACCACUCAAGCCUAAGGGGUCUACAAGAUCAGCACAGCCUUACUAAAACCUACCAAGCACCGAAAAGACCAAUGUGACUAGCAUCGCAGCUGAGGUAAUUCUUCUGAUCAGGCUCCCAUUUCCAGGUGUCAGCAAGGCACCUUACAGUGGUGCAGACCUAGGGGAAGCUCUGUCACUAUGCCCCUUACCCAGCAGACAAGUCUUAGCUCCGCUUAUGCUUGGUUGUGCAUGCCUGCCUGUGCAAGUCUGACCUACAGCACAGAAGACUUCCCCCCUCUGUCUGCACGCAGAAUGCCACCUGCAGUGGAGGGUCUCAGACACUUUAAUACCUUCCACUUAACUGUUAUGAGUCCUGUUGGUCUUAAUUUUGCCUUCCCACCCCAGGAUGGCUGUAUUUCUGCUUUACGUUAAACGAGUAAUUCCCACGCAGGCAGUUUGUUAAGUGUCCUACAAUGAGAGACAAUACCUUAGAAAGGCACAAAGUGUUGAUUUAUCUGAGGUUACUGGCUCCAGCACGUGGUUUAAAUCAGAUUCUGGUCCAUGACAGUGAUAUAAGAGAGAACCUUGCUUAAUGGUGGUGAGGGGAACACAUCUCCCUGCCUUAAUCACACACAGAUUUCCAGUUGGGAAGAGGCUGGGCUGCCUAUUUGUCCUUCAUUAUACAAACCAUAAACACACAUUCAGACACACAGAGCUCAUCCAUCCUAAACAUCUAUCAAGAAUUCCAGAUUCCUCCACUGCAAACCAAGACCUUCUUUAUUAUCACAUCAUUCCCCGAAAAUGUUUACAAACUAACUUCUGUUCUCAUCCCAUUCUCAUCUUCUUGCUGAAGAAAUGAAAAUAUCAGGUUCCCAGAGAAGCUGCUUUUGAGGCUGCAUUGAAAACAUUGUCAUAUGGGUAAGUACAGCAGUAUAACUUGCAGAGACCUUAAUGUUUAGUAAACUUGAUUCUGAGCUUUGGUUUUCCAGAACAGAAAAGUGUAUUUUUUCCCCCUCCAAGGUCUGAUGCUGGAUUUGAACAUGAGAACACAAGUAAUGUUAUCCGCUCACCGGCUUUUUGACAGCAAAAGUUGAAUCUGUAUCCUCUUGUUCUUAGACAAAGGUAUCAACUAACUGAUCUAAAUGAUCUGUUCCAAGCAGCCUUUUGUGAUUCAGGGGGCUAAUGACAGUGGAGGGGACAGGCCUGUACCCUGAGAGAGUUGCCACAUCACUAAGAUUCAUCUCCUUGCACACAGAAUUACAGAAUCACAGAAUCACAGAAUUUCUAGGUUGGAAGAGACCUCAAGAUCCUAGGAAAAGCUUCUCAAAGCUUUUUGUCAGGGAGCAGUACAGCGUAAGUUUGGCAUCAACCAAUCACAGCCAAAAAAGCUGCAUUGAUUUAAGAAAUUCAUACAUCAUGGAUCUGCAGGGCUGCCUCUUCUUGCAGUAUUCUAACAUUGCAAUAUUCUAACAACAGCCCAUGUUGUUGCUCCCCAUCAGACUAGCAUGUACCAUCUCCAAGCUGCAGCUUGGUAUUGCACUGAAAGCCAUGAAGAGUGCUGAUCCAAAUCUGUUUCACAGCUGGACUGUUGUGCGGUGAUCUCUUCCCAGUGAAAGAGGCUCAAUGACAAACAGUUGGACAACUGUAUUAUCUUAAACUGCCAUGGCAUUUUAACAACUAUAUCAAAAUCUUAAUCAGAUGGGACGUUUCCAAAGGCAGAAAGCAGGAUUAAGGGCAUGUUUCUUAGAAGCUCUUCAGAGGAGCUGGGCGCUUCACAGAUAUUUGUGGCCUUGAAGAGAGAAUCCAAAUAUCGGUCAUUUGGCUCUUGCCUGAAAUAUCCUUGCCUUUUUUUUUUUUUUUUUUUUUUUUUGGCAAAGCCAAUUCUGCCAAAAAGAUUCAGAGAAAGCUUUUAGGAUUGUGUUUACCCUCGGAUGUAACUCAGACACGACAUUUGUAAUGUCAUCAGAGCAGGACUGCUGACGUGAAUAACGGUGUUGGCAGCAGCUUCCAUGGGACCAGGACUGGGUCCAGUAUUCACAUUUCCUAGGCAUUCUCUGCUAAACAUUAUUGUACAUAAAGAAGCAUUUGUUUGGACUCCAGAUGUUCAAGUAACCUCCUGUCAUAUUCUGUCUGUAUCCCAGCUCUCCCAUCUGUGAUCUGAAGUGUUGCAAGGAAAAAGUGGAGGGAAUUAUUUUGAUCUCACUUCCAUCUGUUUUACACUUCACUGACUCCCCUCUUGAUUUGCACCAGUGUUUGAGAACAGGGCUAGAGAGUAACGCUGCUCAUACCAGUGUAAAUCCAGAAGACAGGGGCAUUUACUCUGAACUGACCUCAGGCAAUUACUUGCAGAGUUAUUUGGGAUAAACAGUUGUGAUCCAGGAAAUCAGCAAACCCCGUGUGGGCAGUUGUUCAGGGAGAGGAACAUCUGCUCUGAAACACUGCAGUUGUUACCAGUGCUUAACAGAUGGGCACCACUGCAGAGAAUAACUGAGAAAUGUGAACUUUACAACUUUUCUGAGCAACCCACGGCAAAGUUACUGCAGCGUAUCCCGUGCUGAUGUCUGUUUACUCAGAGAGCAGUCUGAAGGCAGUCCUGACCUGGCGGCUCUGGAAGGGCUUUUGCAUCAGUGCCAGCCUCAGUUAUAGGACAGGAAACUGAUGAGCACUGCACUUAGUGACUGUGGUUAUAAUCAACCUUAUCAGUGAGAAUGGCCCCUGGUCAUCAAUGGUAAGAUGCUCCUUAUGAGUGACAGAUAACCCUGUGUGUUUGCAGCAAUCCUCCCCUUUCAGUUCCUGAGAAAUGCCCUUCUACCCCAGGGCUCACCUGCACCAAAACUCACUGUGGCUGAUGUUGACAGGAUAUCAGAGGGCAGAGAACUGCUCUCACUAGUUUGAAACCAACCAAAAAUUAGUGUCAGGUUGGUCUAUGCAGGUUCCUAAGAUAAAUCUAAAGUUCGCACCAGCUUGCAUAGCUCAGUUAUUUAUCUAAAGCUUCAAGGUGGGUGAAGAUGUUUCUGCAGGCAGCUAAAGGCUCCUGAUCCCAGCCUUCACUUCUGUAAGCACUCUGCAUGCAGAAUCCUGGCUGGGAUCACCCGGCAUACGAAACAGAGACUUGAGUUCCAAAUGGGUAAAAGGUAUCCACGAACCACAAAGGGAGAAGCAAAACAAACAAAUAAAAAGCACUGUCCAAGAAAUUCAGAAUGACAAAAACCUUCUGCUUCUAUCUUCACUCUAGCUCAGCUGAAAUGGGUGGCUGACCCAAGGCAGCGGGGGGUGGGCUUUUAUCCCUUCGUGCUGCAAGAAAAAAUUCUCGGAGCUUUGUCGGAAAGAAACCAUUAACACAGGAAAGGAGAAUUAACGGAGACUGCAAUAAUCCUUGCUACAAACGAGAUGAACCCAGCUUUGCCCCCCCAGCUGCAUCGUUGGAAAGCCACCAAGGGAAGCUUUUUGGACACACAGAUUCUCAAGGGCCUAGUGCACGAACCGUGUCACACAGAUUACAGGAAGUUGUCUGCAAUGUAGCGUUAACAUUUUUUGCAGGAGAUCUGAAAAUUUCCAUGCCUGAUCCAGAACAGAAUCCCCUGGUGCUUGGCUAUCCUCUGUUCUUCCCCAGGCCUGGCUGCUGGACCAAUCCUAACACAGCCAGCAGCCCAAGGUGAUAUCACUUGCUAACUAUGAAGUUUGGGAUUGAAAUGCCUUGUUCUUUCUCAUCUUGCUUGCCAGCACUAUCCCCCAGCUCUAGUCAGGGCCUCUUAUUUGCCUGAGAACUAAAUUUAACCAAAGUAGUAAUAAAGAUGCUUUACAUGCUCAUCUGACACUAAGAAGCAUUGGUGGGCAGAUUAUUGGCAUGUGGAACGAUGAUCUCUUCUCAGACUUUCCGUAAUGCUGUGACUAUGAAGCUAAAACAUCAUUAAUAAUAUGCCAUUUAGCUUGCUUUUGAAUGGUGGAGGAAGGACUAAGAAUAUAUAAGGUUGAAGAGACCAAGGGGAAGAAGCUGGAACCUUUACACGCACUUGGCAGCAGGCAGGGAGACAAAUCCCAGCUGUGCACAUAGCACACUUUGAUGUAUGUGUAUGGCGUUGCAAUAGCACAUCCAUUUCCAAAUGUAUUUACUCAUGGUGGUAGUCCAGGCAGCUGGUGCGUCUGUGUGCUAGUCAGAUAUCCAGGCUAGGAAAGAUCCUUGGUCAGCAAAAGAUGAUGCUGCUGGGGCUGCGAAGAAGCAUGUGUGUUCUCUCUGUUGGAGUUAUUUCCUUCAGCUAGCAUCUCCUGCUGAAAAAUGGGAACUUUUGACUUUAAAUUUUACUUUCAAGACAGCUAAAUCUUCUAUGGAUUUGAGGGAUGUAACUUUCUGCUGCUGAUUUUUCUUGCACGACGAUUGGGGAGCAUGAAGGCUGAGAUACUCUGGGCCCAUUUAAAUACAAAAUACCAACCUCAGGUUGCUCUUUUUCUGUGUCCUUUUUUGUUUCAAGAAAGAUAUUCCUUCACCUCUGAAACUGUCUGUCAAAGGGAAGAGAUGUAUAAUAAUAGCAAAGAGGAGGUAGAGUUUAGGCUUCCUCCCUACAUCCUAAUGUAGAACUAAUUUUGGGAAGGCACCUCACAAGGCCUUCCAAAUCUUCCAGCCCCCUCCAAAUCUGCAAUAUUGGACUCAGAAAUCUGAUUAGGGCUGUGCAGAAAUGACAUUAUCAACACUGUAGUGCACUUCAAUCUCACACCAUUUCUCCAGUGCCCUGUAAUAAGUGCCUAUGAGCUGAAGCAGGCCUGGCACUGAGCCCCAGCAGCCCCUAAGAAGUGAAGGGGAGCCCUUGGUGUAACAGAACAAUCAUGACAGUACACAUCAAUUUACCAAAAUAAAAAAGUACUCACUUCAUAGCAUAGCUUUUGAUUUCCCUGGCCAACUAGUUGUCUUUGUGGACUCUUAUAUAUGGCCUUUAAUGGUGUGUAAGGGAAAGAUUAAUCUUCUACAGCCAUUUGACAUUGUUCAGCCCUUGGACAUGUGGUGGUCUUCACCUGACAGCCAGGUGAAACCAUCUCUACCACAAUCACACUCUCCUUAUAUUUUCUUACACUGUGUGAACUGCCUUAAACAUCCCAAAACUAAGUAUGUACCCAAGGGAGUAGCUUUUACGGAUGCAGGUGACUAAAGAAGAGAAGUGCUCUUUACACCCUUGACACCGUACUCGGUCAGGACCAGCCAGGUCACAACUUGGUGCUCAGCAGCAGCCUGUGUUAUUGUGCCCAUUGCACCAUGGCCACUCCAGGUUCACUUGGCAAGCUCACAGCCAGCUGACAGAGCAUCAAAAGGAUUUGGUAAUUAGCUACUAAAGCAUUGAGAUCCCAGCAGGUGCCACCUGCUGUGGCAAGCCCUGCUAUGUUCAAGAGAGGGCACUUUGUUCCCCAUCAGUUUUGAUGCUCUUUUUAUGCUCUAGUGUAAGCUCUUAGAUGCAACAACUGCUGUCACAGCAGGUUGGAUUUGGAGAGCUCUGCUGUGGGAAUGGAUGCUGCUAUUUUUAAAAAUCCAUUUUACGUAAAACUCUACCAGAAGGGAAGAAUUGCUUCUGGCUCAAGAUCCCCUAUGCCUGGACAAACCAUCUCAGCAGAUGCAGAGUGCCAUGAAAUAGAAAUAAUGGAAAUAAUGACAGCGCCUUCGUCUAGCAGGCGGGACGGACACUGCCGGAGCGAUGGGCCCUUCUCCUGCAGCCUGAGAACAGAGCGCGUCUCAUGGGAAAGCACAGACCUGUAACCCUGACGUGCGAGUGCCCUGCCUUAUGGACGGGUUGUGACUGCCUGACACAUCUUUACAGCUUCUCUCCUGACUGCUGCGCUUUCAUACCUCAUUACUCAUGGUUAUUCUGAGGUAUAUAUUCUGGCUGGGUGGGAGAAUACUGCUUUUCCUUCAGUGUUUUUUUUUUUUUUUUCUUUCUAGCCAGUGACCAGAGCUCCUACAUCUUCCAUAGGCCUAACUCAAAGACUUAUGUGUGAGUUAGUGUAAGAUGAUCUUUUUAUGCUUUUUUUUUUUUAAUCACCUAACUACAGCCCCAGGCAGAUACACCAAACAGUCUAAUUAUGUACCUGGAGCAGAAACUAGCAUCUUUCCAGUUACAAAACUUGUGUCUGACUGGCAUCUUGCAUGCUCCUCUUAUUUUAUAUUUUUGUUGUUCUUUGGACCACUCAGGUAAUUAAUUACACCAACCUAUGACUGGACACUACUCUGACAUACCCUUCGCUACAUAAACAAUUUAGGUCAAACUCAGAGAUGAUAUAAGGGAAUCAAUAUGGACGGACUAAAAAUAGAAGUCCCAGAGCAACCCUCUCCCACAUUACAUACUCCAACAGGCCAGGAGGAUGCUGUGACUGAUGAGAAUUUGGACUUUCUCUAUGACACCAGGCCUUCCUUCACCAAUGCAGUUUUGUGAUGCCUCUCAAUAGACAAAGCAAGGACAACACUCUCAUACAAUGGCUUUGCAAUGGUUUUACUUUUGCCACCAAUUACUGAUGAAAUUAUUCAGAAUGGAAAUAUUUGAUUUGCCACCUACAGACAUAUAAAGACAAUAUGUCCUGACAAUAAGGCAUCAUCAUAUCAGAAAAAGUAGCGACAGCCCUCUCAUCAUGACAACUAGCACGGCUGGGUCACAACUUGUACUGUGUGCAUUGCAUUCAGCCCAGAGGCUUCCAGUACAGACCUGGAUGCUACUGUAUUGAGGUCUGCACCCACACACAGACUUUAACAGAUCCUAACCUUAUGACUUUCAGGUUAAAGAAAAUUUUAUUUUCUACAGCUCUGCCCCAUGCCACCCAGAAGAAUCCCUGCUUCUGAAGCUGCUCUUUCCUUUGGGACUCCUGUGAUCUGGCGCCCAAGAACACAUUGUAAAAGCUUAUCAGCUUUCCAUGUCCUGGAAACCAACUCUUCUGUCUGAAGCAGGGGACUAAGACUGCACUCCAGAAAUACAAAUUCUAGAUAAGAAUUUCAAGAACAUGCAAGCAGAGAUCGCCAGUCCAGAUUCAGAAAGGCUCCACCAGGCACUGCAGGACCUAAAAGACAUUUUUACAAGUGGAUAUUUUCCUACAACCCUAGAUCCUAAGCAGAACCGAGGUAACGCGGGCAGACAACAUUUCCUGGACUCUAUAGAAAACAAAGAGAGUCAAAGUUCCAACACAAGUUAACUGUUGGUGAAUGAAAGACCUACACCACACUCAGUUUGAGAUUCAGCCAGUCAAAACUUAGGUUUCUAACAAUGAGGCAUCCAGAUGAAGAAAAUUUUCCUAAGCAGCCUGUAUCCAGAUGGCACCAGCUGAUGGAGGCUGACACUGCCCUAGAAAGUGACUUAUUUCACCCGGUUUAGGUUGUUUCUUGGCCCUGUCAGUCUCUCUCUGCAUUAACUGGGGAUUAAGACAAUCAGAUUGAGUGGGAGCUUGACCGUUACUUAGAGUUUAGCUGCCUAGUUAGAUAAAAGGGAUGCCUGUUCUACUACUUGUGAAAGUGGCACCCCUUUUCCAACAUAGAACUUCAUGGAUAUUUUCAGAAUUAGUGAAAUUAUGACACCUGAAGACAAUCUUUAGACUCAUGCUGAAAUUAGUGUGAACAGAGGUUUUGGCUUAUAUUUUUAAUCUUGUAUUUGGUUUUGUUUCUCUUUUAUUAGCAGUGGUUUAACUCAACACCUGAGAAAUCCUGCAUGAAAAGAAGGUCUUCAUUAAAAUUUCAACACCCUUGCUGCUUCAGUUGAGAGCUGGGAGAGCUCCCACUAUGCAUGUAAUUGUUUUUCCAUAGUAAAACACACUUUGCUGAAGGAUAAUUGAUAUGAGGCUUAAAAUUCUAGCACCGACAUACAAAGAAAAGUUAUUAACUUCUCUAAGUAUUUGUAUGGGCCCCUGAUUUUGUCCUCUGGAGUCCCAUCAUGUUCUUCAGGGGUGGGCUAGUAAAUUGUCUUCUUGGCUGCCUCAUUGGCCAAGUUCACCCACACAUGUCUCAUGUUCCAAGGAGUCUGAUCCCAUAGGUCUGUGUAACGUAACCAGCUUCUCCCCUGAAAAUGUGCAAUGAGAACAUAACACCAUUUUCUUUCUGAUCUUAGAUCAUAGGCACAGGCAAUUGACUGGCCUCUGAACUGAUAGAGAAGAGUAAUCAGGAAUACAGAGCAUGACUGUAUCAGUUAAAAGGUGAAAAAAUGCAGAGGUGUUGACUACAUAUCAGUAUCACCAGCUGAAACCAUCCAUGAACGUACUCCUUGCUGGUUGUUAGCAGUCUGUAUCCUGAUUAAUCUAUUCCUCAAAACCACAGGAAAAAAAAAAAAAAAAAAAAGGCCCUUCUACCUACCAGUUCACAGAGUUCUGUCUUUACUCUGCUCAUAAAUGAAGGGAGCAGGGCAGAGGGAACCCCGGGCACCCCUCAGCCUCCAUCCUGCUGAACCCCCACCCACCCUUACCUGCUGAGAGAAAAUCUGGUGCAGCUCAUACAACUUGCUCAAAUUCCUACAGCUCUCUUCAUCCUGUGCCAUGAGUUACAUUAGAGACACCUCAGCUAUUCACAAGAAUACAGACGCUUUCUAGCCCAGAAAGUACCACAAGACACUCAGCUCUAUUGUGUUCUCACUUACACAGCCAGGCUAAGCCCCCAGAUGCCUUGCUCCUGCAGUGGAGACCUCCCAGAUGUGCUUGGUGAUGUCAGAACUGAGUGCUGGGCACUGGUAAUUACUCAGAUGUCCUUGACUCACCCUUCCCUUACACAGUUUAUGGCCUUUACUUCUAAUCAAGAGAGCUAAGGAGAGUUCAGUGGAAUAAGGUAGCAAGCCUCCUACUGGGGAAAAAUGGAGACGAUGUUAAGCAAUACUAAUUUCACCCAGGUUAGAAGAUAGUGGGUCCCAUGCAGAUAUUUUCUAGGGUCUGCUCAAUCCAGGAGUAACAGAGUGAGAUCUUCCUGCAUUAGUCCCUACACCCCAGAGAGGAUCAGAGCACUACGACAGGGCCACUAGUGAGAAAAUUCCCAGGACCCAUGCUGCCUCCUUGCAUCUGCUGUGCAGGGUUUCAGGUCAUGGAUGACUGGUAUAUAUGGGUAUGCAAAUUCUGUCUGCAGCGCUGAGGAGUUUCAGAGCUGCACAUCAGUCCAGAAGAUGGCAUCAUCACAGCUGCAGUAGGGUUCUCCAGCUUCUGGAGUGAUCAGACACUGGGCAGGUGUAAAGGUGGUUUUAAAACCACUCUCCUGGGAUGUGAGUCAUGUUCUGUGCUAUCUGGAGGCAGAACACAACCUCACUGGGUCAGGCCAAACCUAGAAACAGGUCCCUAAAGGCGUAACUGUGUCUUUGCUUAUGGUCCAUUCAAAGCUGUGGGACAACGUAUGGCCACAAACAACUCAGUGCCAAAGAUUUCCUCUGAAACACAGAUCUGAACUUCAAUAAAAGCAAUCACAAAGCAGAGGGAAUAGCACACAUUAGUAAAGCCCCUCACCUUGCAAUUGCUUAGGGUUGGCUAUGGGGGACUGCUACAGUGUUGAUGUGCAGUAGUGUUUGGGUUGGGGCCGCGCAGCUUGAUAGCAUGAUAUAGGGAAGGUGUGGAGUUACUGCAAUUAUUUACAGAUAUUGAAAGCCUGUGUGUGAGCCCUAUGGAGGACAGACAUUUACUGAGGUGCUAGAAGGAUGGAUAAGAAGGGAUACAGAAAGGAAAUGAACAAAACAGCAAGGCUAUCAGGAGGAAUUUGCUGAUAUUACUCAGAGGAAUAAUCUCAUCCCUGCUUCAAACACAUAAAACUAGACUGGUAAAAAUUACUAAAAAAAUAUAGAGUAGAAAACACAAACUGGACUCAACUUCCUAGUGUGGAUUCUGAGAUCCCAGGAAGCUCUAUCAUCUCCAGGUUUCUCUGAAAUUCAGGAUCUUCUGGGAAUGCUCCUUCAAAAUUAUGAAAAGGAGAAUUCAGUAACAUUUGUCUACUACUGUGUAUUCCACCAUAAAUUGCAUUCAGAAAGAAAAAAAGAUAUUCCUAGAGACCUGUAAGGUCUUGUUAAAUGAACAAAACCAAGAGGGACUUCCUGCCUGGAUGUCUUUGUGUUGAGAUUAUCCAAGACUCUUUCUUGACAGAGAUUCCCCAGAUUAUUAUUAGCAUUGUUGUUUCCUGCAAUAAAAAAAAAA